GUGCUUGCUUCACCAGCACAAACACUAAAAUUGGAACAACACAGAGAUUAGCAUGGCCCCUGCACAGGGAUGACAUGCAAAUUUGUGAAGCAUUCCAUUAAAAA
rnacentral:snRNA from 1 species